GGCUCGAGGACGAACGCUGGCGGCGUGCCUAAUACAUGCAAGUCGAACGAACUGUGGAAAGCUUGCUUUUCAGAGUUAGUGGCGAACGGGUGAGUAACACGUAAGUAACCUAGCUAUUAGACGAGGAUAACUACUGGAAACGGUAGCUAAGACUGGAUAUGGUAGAAAUAUUUAAAGGAUGCUAAGGCAUCGCUAAUAGAGGGGCUUGCGGCGCAUUAGCUAGUUGGUAGGGUAAAGCCAACCAAGGCGAUGAUGCGUAGCCGACCUGAGAGGGUGACCGGCCACACUGGGACUGAGACACGGCCCAGACUCCUACGGGAGGCAGCAGUAGGGAAUCUUCGGCAAUGGACGAAAGUCUGACCGAGCAACGCCGCGUGAGUGAAGAAAGUUUUCGGAUUGUAAAGCUCUGUUAUUAGGGAAGAAAGGCUCUAGGAGGAAAUGCUUAGGGAUUGACGGUACCUAAUGAGGAAGCCACGGCUAACUACGUGCCAGCAGCCGC
rnacentral:rRNA from 1 species